rnacentral:lncRNA from 1 species
AAAAAGAAAAAAAAAAAAUCCCCGCACACAGAAAGAUGCAAGGAAGUUUCUGGAAGAUCAUUUCUUGCCUAACUUUUUUUUUUUCUUUUUUUUUUUUUUUUCCUGAAGAAAUGUUGUUCCAGGGAGUGUCUGACUAGUUCUGCAGCUUGGCAAAAAAGCCAGACGUUACCUCAUAGCUGCGGCCAGACAGCCCAUUUCUAUGCCAGGCAACCACUGCAGAAGCACAGAGCACAGGGCCCUGCUUGAUUAGCACUUCUGCUGUUUCGAGAGUCCUGGAGUGUUUUGUUCAAGUCAUUUAAAGUUUCUCUGAAAUGGAAAUGCUGAUGGGAAACCAAGCAGCUGGGGCUUACUGAGGAGUCAGGGAGUCUGUUGCAGCAGAGCCCUGCAAAGCUGGCAGCUGCCAGAAGGAUUUGUUCCAUCCCUGAAUACCUGCACCGCUGCUUCCCCCCGUGCUGCUGUCAGCAGAGGAACAAACAGGUUCACACCUGCUGCAUAGCUGGCCUUGGAGGAAUGCAUGUGCAAAUUUGGCAGGUUAAAUGCUUGAAGGAAUUGCAGAGUCAGGCUCCUGGAAAAUGAGGGCACACACCAAAAAAUCAGCACCUCAGCACAGGAGCAGGUGAGAAGAUCAGGUGCAGAGAGGUAAGCCAGUGCAAAGCCUUUUAUCCCACU